AUUCCAGCUCCAAUAGCGUAUAUUUAAGUUGUUGCAGUUAAAAAGCUCGUAGUUGGAUUUCGGGUGGGAACGACCGGUCCGCCGUUCUGGUGUGUACUGGUCGGUCCCAUCUUGCUGUCGGGGACGCGCUCCUGGCCUUAACUGGCUGGGACGUGGAGUCGGCGAUGUUACUUUGAAAAAAUUAGAGUGUUCAAAGCAGGCCUACGCUCUGAAUACAUUAGCAUGGAAUAACGCGAUAGGACUCUGGUCCUAUUGUGUUGGUCUUCGGGACCGGAGUAAUGAUUAAGAGGGACAGUUGGGGGCAUUCGUAUUUCAUUGUCAGAGGUGAAAUUCUUGGAUUUAUGAAAGACGAACUUCUGCGAAAGCAUUUGCCAAGGAUGUUUUCAUCA
rnacentral:rRNA from 1 species